GUGAAGUCGUUUCUUAGGAAAUGCAAGCCCAGCGAUACUGAGUGAUUGAAGAUCCUGUGAAGACAGCCUGUCCUACUUCAGACUGAACAGAGAAGCAUGAAUGCCUUAAAUCGGAACCAGAGGAAAGAAGACUCAAACUGCUUCUGGAAGCCUGGUGAUCGGCCUGUGAACCACAGAGGCUCACACUCUGAUGAGGAGAACUCCCUUCAGCCGCUGCAGUGACCUCAACAGGGCGCUUUUCAAACUACAGAGGACUUCCGCGUGCAGAGGAGGAAGUCCGCUCUACCGAGGAAGGCCCCCAAGACUCAAAUUUGGAUGCACCUCUGGGGUGGCACCACCUGCUUUCCUUGAGAAUCACUGCCCUGGCGAAGCCUAGAAGUUCAGUAGCAUGUGCUGAGGUGGAAUGACAGGUUCAGAACCCCUCUACUAGAAGAUCACUAGCCACACUACAAAGCUAGAUAACCAAAAUAAGUUAGUAAUAUCUCUCCAUUUAUCAUGCCACCCACGCUAACCAAAAUACUUUGAUUAAAGAUAUGUCUAGAUAUUAAGUUAAAACCACCAAAAAAAACCCAUAAUCAAUAAUGAUGUUCUGAUAUGACGAAAAUGCCCUGUUUCAAUCCUUAAAUAUAGGGGAAAUUAGCUCGUAUUCAUGGAGCCUAGAAACUUAACAUGAAUUUGUAUGAUGAAUAAAAAGACCUUUUUGCUAGACUCCA
rnacentral:lncRNA from 1 species